AUGUGCCACUCGUACGUUCCGGCUCUGAGCGCGCCGUCCGCACCCACCUGAUGACUGCGCGCUAGGUUGCGUUAGCC
rnacentral:sRNA from 2 species